rnacentral:rRNA from 2 species
UUAAAUUGAAGAGUUUGAUCAUGGCUCAGAUUGAACGCUGGCGGCAGGCCUAACACAUGCAAGUCGAACGGUAACAGGAAACAGCUUGCUGUUUCGCUGACGAGUGGCGGACGGGUGAGUAAUGUCUGGGAAACUGCCUGAUGGAGGGGGAUAACUACUGGAAACGGUAGCUAAUACCGCAUAACGUCGCAAGACCAAAGAGGGGGACCUUCGGGCCUCUUGCCAUCGGAUGUGCCCAGAUGGGAUUAGCUAGUAGGUGGGGUAACGGCUCACCUAGGCGACGAUCCCUAGCUGGUCUGAGAGGAUGACCAGCCACACUGGAACUGAGACACGGUCCAGACUCCUACGGGAGGCAGCAGUGGGGAAUAUUGCAC